rnacentral:lncRNA from 1 species
CGUGAGAAAUGUUUUCAUGCAUCCCUUCUCUUCCUCUCAUAACUAAGAAUUAAAUGGAAUGGUUUUAUUAUACCUAGUGAUGGCAUGUUAAUGUUUAUCUCUUAUUUAAAAGAGUCCUAACUUUCUAAGGAAGCAUCCAUGCCAUUUAUGGAAUCCAUGACUCCUUGGUUUCUUAUCCACGCACCUCUUGGUUUUGAAAGAAUUAUUUUGUGCGAUGACCCUUGGGAGUUAGCAC